UACGUAGGUGGCGAGCGUUAUCCGGAAUUAUUGGGCGUAAAGAGCGCGCAGGUGGUUGAUUAAGUCUGAUGUGAAAGCCCACGGCUUAACCGUGGAGGGUCAUUGGAAACUGGUCGACUUGAGUGCAGAAGAGGGAAGUGGAAUUCCAUGUGUAGCGGUGAAAUGCGUAGAGAUAUGGAGGAACACCAGUGGCGAAGGCGGCGCUCUGGGCCGGAACUGACGCUGAGGAGCGAAAGCGUGGGUAGCAAACAGGAUUAGAUA
rnacentral:rRNA from 1 species